UACGUAGGUGGCAAGCGUUGUCCGGAUUUACUGGGCGUAAAGAGCGCGCAGGCGGUCGUGCAAGUCGCGUGUGAAAGCCCCCGGCUCAACUGGGGAGGGUCAUUCGAUACUGAUCGACUCGAAGGCAGGAGAGGGAAGCGGAAUUCCCGGUGUAGCAGUGAAAUGCGUAGAUAUCGGGAGGAACAUCUGUGGCGAAGGCGACACCCUGGACCAGCACUGACACUGAGGCACGAAAGCGUGGGGAGCAAACAGG
rnacentral:rRNA from 1 species